rnacentral:misc_RNA from 1 species
GAUGAAGAACGCAGCGAAAUGCGAUACGUAAUGUGAAUUGCAGAAUUCAGUGAAUCAUCGAGUCUUUGAACGCACAUUGCGCCCCCUGGUAUUCCGGGGGGCAUGCCUGUCCGAGCGUCAUUGCUGCCCUCAAGCACGGCUUGUGUGUUGGGCCUCCGUCCUCCUCCCGGGGGACGGGCCCGAAAGGCAGCGGCGGCACCGCGUCCAGUCCUCGAGCGUAUGGGGCUUCGUCACCCGCUCUUGUAGGCCCGGCCGGCGCUUGCCGACACAUCAAUCUUUUUUCCAGGUUGACCUCGGAUCAGGUAGGGAUACCCGCUGAACUUAAGCAUAUCAAUAAGCGGAGGA